rnacentral:tRNA from 1 species
AGUAGAGUGGCUGAAGUUUAAGCGGUAGAUUGUAAUUCUUCUUAUGGUACCUCCCUCUAUUG